GUCGGGUUCGGGAUGAACUGGUUGAUCCGCUGGCCGAUCACCGCCCAGGUGCGUUUGCCGUCGUGCAGCAUCUGCACACCACGGCGCUUGAACUCCUU
rnacentral:sRNA from 1 species